UUUUAUGAGAGUUUGAUCCUGGCUCAGGACGAACGCUGGCGGCGUGCCUAAUACAUGCAAGUCGAACGCUUCUUUUUCCACCGGAGCUUGCUCCACCGGAAAAAGAGGAGUGGCGAACGGGUGAGUAACACGUGGGUAACCUGCCCAUCAGAAGGGGAUAACACUUGGAAACAGGUGCUAAUACCGUAUAACAAUCGAAA
rnacentral:rRNA from 2 species